rnacentral:rRNA from 1 species
GUUAUAUGGUCAAGCGAAUAAGCGCACACGGUGGAUGCCUUGGCGGUCAGAGGCGAUGAAGGACGUGGCAGCCUGCGAAAAGUAUCGGGGAGCUGGCAACAAGCUUUGAUCCGGUAAUGUCCGAAUGGGGAAACCCACCCGCUUGCGGGUAUCCUGCAGUGAAUACAUAGCUGCUGGAAGCGAACCUGGUGAACUGAAAUAUCUAAGUAACCAGAGGAAAAGAAAUCAACCGAGAUUCCGUAAGUAGCGACGAGCGAACGCGGACUAGCCCUUAAGCUGAUUUGGUUCUAGGAAAACGCUCUGGAAAGAGCGGCCAUAGAAGGUGAUAGCCCUGUAUCUGAAAGGGCCAUUUCAGUGAAGACGAGUAGGGCGGGGCACGUGAAACCCUGUCUGAACAUGGGGGGACCAUCCUCCAAGGCUAAAUACUACUGACCGACCGAUAGUGAACCAGUACCGUGAGGGAAAGGCGAAAAGAACCCCGGAGAGGGGAGUGAAAUAGAACCUGAAACCGUGUGCGUACAAGCAGUAGGAGCUCCGCAAGGAGUGACUGCGUACCUUUUGUAUAAUGGGUCAGCGACUUACUGUUCGUGGCAAGCUUAACCGUAUAGGGGAGGCGAAGGGAAACCGAGUCUGAUAAGGGCGCAUAGUCGCGGGCAGUAGACCCGAAACCGGGUGAUCUAGUCAUGCCCAGGGUGAAGGUGCGGUAACACGCACUGGAGGCCCGAACCCACUCCCGUUGCAAAGGUAGGGGAUGAGGUGUGAUUAGGAGUGAAAAGCUAAUCGAACCCGGAGAUAGCUGGUUCUCCUCGAAAGCUAUUUAGGUAGCGCCUCAUAUGUAUCCUCUCGGGGGUAGAGCACUGUUAUGGCUAGGGGGUCAUCGCGACUUACCAAACCAUUGCAAACUCCGAAUACCGAGACGGACUGUAUGGGAGACACACGGCGGGUGCUAACGUCCGUCGUGAAAAGGGAAACAACCCAGACCCACAGCUAAGGUCCCAAAUUCACUGCUAAGUGGAAAACCAUGUGGAAAGGCACAGACAGCCAGGAGGUUGGCUUAGAAGCAGCCACCCUUUAAAGAAAGCGUAAUAGCUCACUGGUCGAGUCGGUCUGCGGGGAAGAUUUAACGGGGCUAAGCAGUGAACCGAAGCUUGGGGUGCAUACUUUGUAUGCGCGGUAGAGGAGCGUUCCGUAAGCCGUUGAAGGUGGAUUGAGAAGUCUGCUGGAGGUAUCGGAAGUGCGAAUGCUGACAUGAGUAACGAUAAUGCGGGUGAAAAACCCGCACGCCGAAAGCCCAAGGUUUCCUUGCGCAACGUUAAUCGGCGCAGGGUGAGUCGGCCCCUAAGGCGAGGACGAAAGUCGUAGUCGAUGGGAAGCAGGUUAAUAUUCCUGCACCUCGCGUAAGUGCGAUGGAGGGACGGAGAAGGUUAGGUGUACCAGGCGUUGGUUGUCCUGGGGAAAGGCGGUAGGUUUGGAUCUUUGGCAAAUCCGGGAUCCUUUAAGACCGAGCACCGAGACGAGCCUUUAUGGCGAAGUCACUGAUACCACGCUUCCAGGAAAAGCUCCUAAGCUUCAGCUUACGCAGACCGUACCGUAAACCGACACAGGUGGGUAGGAUGAGAAUUCUCAGGCGCUUGAGAGAACUCGGGUGAAGGAACUAGGCAACAUGGCACCGUAACUUCGGGAGAAGGUGCACCCUUUUUGGUGGCUCGUGCGAGCUAUAGCUGAAGAGGGUCGCAGUAACCAGGCCGCUGCGACUGUUUAUCAAAAACACAGCACUCUGCAAACACGAAAGUGGACGUAUAGGGUGUGACGCCUGCCCGGUGCUGGAAGGUUAAUUGAUGGGGUCAGCCGCAAGGCGAAGCUCUUGAUCGAAGCCCCAGUAAACGGCGGCCGUAACUAUAACGGUCCUAAGGUAGCGAAAUUCCUUGUCGGGUAAGUUCCGACCUGCACGAAUGGCGUAACGACAGCGGCGCUGUCUCCACCCGAGACUCAGUGAAAUUGAAAUCGCUGUGAAGAUGCAGCGUUCCCGUGGCAAGACGGAAAGACCCCGUGAACCUUUACUAUAGCUUUACACUGAACGUUGAGUUCGUCUGUGUAGGAUAGGUGGGAGGCUAUGAAACUGUGGCGCUAGCUGCAGUGGAGCCAUCCUUGAAAUACCACCCUGUCGUGCUUGACGUUCUAACCUGGGCCCAUUAUCUGGGUCGGGGACCGUGUAUGGUGGGUAGUUUGACUGGGGCGGUCUCCUCCUAAAGAGUAACGGAGGAGCUCGAAGGUACGCUCAGCGCGGUCGGACAUCGCGCACUGUGUGCAAAGGCAUAAGCGUGCUUGACUGCAAGAUCGACGGAUCAAGCAGGUAGGAAACUAGGACUUAGUGAUCCGGUGGUUCUGUAUGGAAGGGCCAUCGCUCAACGGAUAAAAGGUACUCCGGGGAUAACAGGCUGAUACCGCCCAAGAGUUCAUAUCGACGGCGGUGUUUGGCACCUCGAUGUCGGCUCAUCACAUCCUGGGGCUGUAGUCGGUCCCAAGGGUAUGGCUGUUCGCCAUUUAAAGUGGUACGCGAGCUGGGUUCAGAACGUCGUGAGACAGUUCGGUCCCUAUCUGCCAUGGGCGUUGGAGAUUUGAGAGGGGCUGCUCCUAGUACGAGAGGACCGGAGUGGACGAACCUCUGGUGUUCCGGUUGUCACGCCAGUGGCAUUGCCGGGUAGCUAUGUUCGGAAGCGAUAACCGCUGAAAGCAUCUAAGCGGGAAGCGCGCCUCAAGAUGAGAUCUCCCGGGGCACAAGCCCCCUGAAGGAACCAUGUAGACUACGUGGUUGAUAGGUCAGGUGUGUAAGUACAGCAAUGUAUUGAGCUAACUGAUACUAAUGAUCCGUGCGGCUUGACCAUAUAACCU